UCUCCGUUGGUAAACCAGCGGAGGGAUCAUUACCGAGUUAUCAACUCCCAAACCCCUGUGAACAUACCCAACGUUGCUUCGGCGGGACCGCCCCGGCGCCCUCGGCGUCCCGGAACCAGGCGCCCGCCGGAGGACCCAAACUCUUGUUUAAACCAUAGUGGCAUAUUCUGAGUCUCACAAGAAAAAUGAAUCAAAACUUUCAACAACGGAUCUCUUGGCUCUGGCAUUGAUGAAGAACGCAGC
rnacentral:misc_RNA from 1 species